AGUGCUGAAAUCAAUAUUCCAGAGCACCUGCAGCAGCAUCAGUGUCCUUUCUCCCUCCUUACAGGGGGACUGAGGUUUUGUGUCGAUCUGGAAAGCACAGGGCCAUCCCAUGGGAUCUUCCCAAGGAGACAUCUCCCACACCUGCUGCUGUGUGUGCAGGGCUUUGGGUCUCUCUUUGGGGGAGGAUGAAAUGACCUCCCUCUGAAAUGUCCACAAAACCCCAGCAGGCUCUGCUGAAACAGAAGACCUUGAAUUCUCUGUGGGAGCCUUUGUCAGCCUCCUUCAGGGCCUAGAGAAAGGAAGAUGAGGCCACAUCCAUGUGCAUUAUCCAGCAUCCUCCUGUGUCACCUCUAUUUCUGGAGCACCUGUAGGAGCUACAGACCAUGUGCUGUGUAAAGGAUGUGUAGCAAGGAGGAGGAAAACCCUCCCAGCUGCUGUAAUUCAGCAUUGCUCUGCUGGCUUGUGACCCCAGGCAUGCCAACAAAUUGUGUGUCAGAGGCAGCUGGCAUCUGA
rnacentral:lncRNA from 1 species